rnacentral:lncRNA from 1 species
CAGCUCUAGAGACAUGGAGAAUCCACUCCCUGCCCACCCCCCAGAAGACUGUAGAUGCGGAACACAGCUUUGAAAGGAAACUCCCCCAUUCUGCCUUGCCAAAGGGACCUGAAAACGAGUGAGGACCUUCCAACCAAGCCGGGGGCUGGUUUUGCACCCUCCCAUGCUACUAAUAGAACUAACCCCAUGGGGAAAUUUGGACCCCGGUCUGUGUGUAUUGCAUUGUUGGCCAUGAUACUGACACGGAGAGCAAUGACAUUCAGCAACCUCUGUGAGAGGCAGCAAGACCACCCUGGGCCAGGCAUAGCCUCUCCUUCUGCAGAGCUCAGACUCCAGAAAGAGACAUGUAACAUUCCAACGAUGCCAUGAUACGGACAGGUAAGGCAGCAAGGUGAAGGAACAGUGACUUCUGACCAAAUGUCUGCAUUGUACACCUACGAUCACGACCAAUCCGUGAGAUCAGAAACACACACACCAAACGAAGAUGUGAGAUGUUCCUGGAACUGCAGCUGACAUCAACAUGCCAACUCCCCCUUGAGCUCUUAGGAGCCACGUGCUGACAUCCCAUACUUCAGUGGAAG